rnacentral:rRNA from 1 species
GACGAACGCUGGCGGCGUGCUUAACACAUGCAAGUCGAGCGGAAAGGCCCUUCGGGGUACUCGAGCGGCGAACGGGUGAGUAACACGUGAGUAACCUGCCCCUGACUCUGGGAUAAGCCCGGGAAACUGGGUCUAAUACCGGAUACGACCACUUCUCGCAUGGGAUGGUGGUGGAAAGUUUUUUCGGUUGGGGAUGGACUCGCGGCCUAUCAGCUUGUUGGUGGGGUAACGGCCUACCAAGGCGACGACGGGUAGCCGGCCUGAGAGGGCGACCGGCCACACUGGGACUGAGACACGGCCCAGACUCCUACGGGAGGCAGCAGUGGGGAAUAUUGCGCAAUGGGCGAAAGCCUGACGCAGCGACGCCGCGUGGGGGAUGACGGCCUUCGGGUUGUAAACCUCUUUCAGCAGGGACGAAGUUGACGUGUACCUGCAGAAGAAGCGCCGGCUAACUACGUGCCAGCAGCCGCGGUAAUACGUAGGGCGCAAGCGUUGUCCGGAAUUAUUGGGCGUAAAGAGCUCGUAGGUGGCUUGUCACGUCGGGUGUGAAAGCUUGGGGCUUAACUCCAGGUCUGCAUUCGAUACGGGCUGGCUAGAGGUAGGUAGGGGAGAACGGAAUUCCUGGUGUAGCGGUGAAAUGCGCAGAUAUCAGGAGGAACACCGGUGGCGAAGGCGGUUCUCUGGGCCUUACCUGACGCUGAGGAGCGAAAGCNNGGGGAGCGAACAGGAUUAGAUACCCUGGUAGUCCACGCUGUAAACGUCGGGCGCUAGGUGUGGGGACCUUCCACGGUUUCCGCGCA